UACAGAGGAGCCAAGCGUUGUCCGGAUUGACUGGGCGUAAAGCGCACGCAGGCGGGGGUGCGCGUGGGGUGUGAAAUCUGGCCGCUUAACGGCCAGGCGCCAUCCCAUACGGCACGCCUGGAGCCUUGCAGAGGUCGGUGGAAUUGCCGGUGUAGUGGUGAAAUGCGUAGAGAUCGGCAGGAACACCCAGGGGGAAACCAGCCGACUGGGCAAGUGCUGACGCUGAGGUGCGAGAGCGUGGGGGAGCGAACCGG
rnacentral:rRNA from 1 species